rnacentral:antisense_RNA from 1 species
CUUCACCGAACCGAGCCACAGCGGGCGCCCCGGAUCGCGCUCCUGACCGUAUGUCGCCAGCAGUGCCUCGGCCUC